UACAGCGAAACUGCGAAUGGCUCAUUAUAUAAGUUAUCUUUAUUAUUUGAUAGUGCCUUACUACUUGGAUAACCGUGGUAAUUCUAGAGCUAAUACAUGCUAAAAACCCCGACUUCGGAAGGGGUGUAUUUAUUAGAUACAAAACCAAUGCCCUUCGGGGCUCUUUGGUGAUUCAUGAUAACUAUACGAAUCGCACGGCCUUGCGCCGGCGAUGGUUCAUUCAAAUUUCUUCCCUAUCAACUUUCGAUGUUUGGGUAUUGGCCAAACAUGGUUGCAACGGGUAACGGAGGGUUAGGGCUCGACCCCGGAGAAGGAGCCUGAGAAACGGCUACUACAUCCAAGGAAGGCAGCAGGCGCGCAAAUUACCCAAUCCCGACUCGGGGAGGUAGUGACAAUAAAUACUGAUACAGGGCCCUUUCGGGCCUUGUAAUUGGAAUGAGUACAAUUUAAAUCCCUUAACGAGGAACAAUUGGAGGGCAAGUCUGGUGCCAGCAGCCGCGGUAAUUCCAGCUCCAAUAGCGUAUAU
rnacentral:rRNA from 1 species